UUUUCUUUUUUUUGUUUUAUCACUGGCUGGCUACCAAUAGCAUCAUCAAUUAGUUCGUAACACAUCUAAGCUCGUUUAUCAGCUAACCCUAAUGAUUAUUCUUCUUUCCCAAAUAUUUGACCAUGCCUAGAGCAAGAAGUUGAUAACCAGUUCGUACAGGGCUCUAGGACUGAUGCUGCUGGAACAAGUAGCUUGACUCGAGCUCGCAAGCUAUUCAGUUAGUAGCUCAGCUCGAGUUUGUGUUGACCGAGUUCGAGUUGCUUAAUAGAAGCAGCAAGUCGAGCUCGAGGUUCAAUAUUUUGCACUCGAAGACUCGAUGAGUCUAAUCAAAUUUUUAUAAUAUAUUUUAAUUUUUUUAUAUUUAUUAUUAUGAAAUAUCAAUAAUAUCCUUUAUUUAAAAUUAUAUGUAAAAUAUUAAUUUUUAUUACGUGAGCUCGAAUAGGCUCAAUUAAGUUUGAUUUGAAUUGAUUAGAUUUAAUUAAACUCGAACUCGAGUAACGUAAAUUGAUGUCGAAUUCAAACUCAAGCUUAAAAUUCUAAAAACUCGACAAGCUUGAACUCGAUCUCAAACUUAGUUAUUUUACCUCGAGUCGAGAUCGAGUAGUGCACUACUCGAGUUCGACUCGACUCGAACGCACCCCUAACCGCACCUAGAAAGAAAAGGCCACUUUACAGGGUUGCACCAUACUCGAAACUUCUGUUGCUGUUCUUGUUGUUGCUGCUGUUUUUUCUUUUUUCUUUUUCUCAUUUGGAGAGCGUCACGAACAUUCUGGGCUGUUUCUGAAAUUGAAGGAGACAAAUCGGCUUCUAGAACAAUAAACUUCGAAGCAAUCGAGAGAAACUCAAUCGAGAGAAACUAACUGCAUACGUGUUGAUCGAGCUCAUCAAAGUCCAUUACACAUGAGUUAACUGUUCACAUCACCCGACCGAAGUUAAAAAAAGGUCCCACGAAAGAAAACGCAUAUCCUACGCGGACAGCUUAUGUUAAGCUGUUUGUUUGGCUGCAUAUUACUUACCAUGUUAAUCGUGAAAAGACACAACAAUUUUCUUUGGCUGCUUUAGCAAAAUUUCCAAACGUAUGAAAAUUUUACCUGUUGUCGGUGCUGAGAGUGCUUACAAAAAAAGUUAGGUGAGGAAAAUCCAUAGCAGAAACAGUAUUCCAGCUCUGUGAACUCUUUCGUUCAUUCUCAAUAUAUUGUAAACUACUCCUAUGAAUGAAUCAAUAGCUGGGAACCAUGAUUUAGCUCUGCUUUUUUGCUUACCUAUGUGGUUCAUGAUGAGUUGUGCAACUGUUUUCCACCUCCUCUAACUUGUUUCCCGAUUUUCUUUCACAAAUCUCGAGCAAAUUAUCUUACUAGAGGAUUUGGUUUCGCAUGAUCGCGUGCAAUUUCCGAAACAAAGUUGGAAUCUCCAUGUCUUGUCUUUUAAAUUCAUUAGUUGCUGAAAAAUUUGGUGCACUUCGUAACACAACAAGAAGCAAGAAGAAAGCGUUGCGUUGUAAUGGCGUUCUUUAACCUUUUGUGCCGCGCCAACAGCGGUUGGCAUCAAAGCUCAAAAUGGUUUUUUGAAGAGACGGUCUUCCUCGAGCAAUAAUAAUUAAUGUAUCUUAUACGUUUCCAAUUUCCACCCUUCCCUUAUAUGAUGUUGAGUUUUUAAAAAAUAAUAAUAAUAAAGGGUUGUUAUUGCAAUUUUUUUUUCUGUUUUGGGUCUGGAGUCCAAUAUUGUACCCAGAAAAAAAAUAUAUUUUAAAAAGGCCUCUCCGGCAAAGGUUAGAGCAAUGAGCCAAGGCCCGUGAUGUCUGGAAGGAAUCGCGUUUCAAGGUUCUUAUCCACCCAAAACUCUUAAAAAUUGGCAGAAGGCAGCCCAUAACUUGCGGUUUGUUUCUUGAAGACCAGCUGCCCACUGUCUCCGAAAUAAAAGAAUGCCCCAUAAUAAUUCGUGAAUCCUUCCCACUCCAUUGUCAGUGUCCUUUAGGGGUAGAGGGAUCAAAAUGGGUGAUUUGGACAGGUUGAAAUGGAUAAUAGAUAUAAGUGAGUUAACUCAUUUUAUAACCAUUUAAUUAUAUAGAUAUAAAUGAGUAAGUCAAAACAUGAGUUAGAUAAUCCAAUUAUCCAUUUAUAAUCCAUUUAUUUUAACUUUUUGUAAACUCAUUUAAAUUCAUUUUUAUAAACUAAAUUAUUAAUUUAUACCACUCUUUGCACCCUCAUUAGUUUUAGAAAUUUGUACUUAUAAUGUUCAAUAAGCCUAAUUACCAAUUUUUUCAUCCAUGUUUUAUGUUGCAAAAUUACAUACUAUUUAAUAAUUGAACAAUAAGAAUAUAAAAAUUUGAACUAAAUACUAUGAAAGUUAACAUAAAAACUUAAUCCAAAAACUUUGAACCCUUAGCAUUUUUUUCGUAUAUAUAUAUUUAAAAUUUCAUUUUUGCAAGGUAGGAAAAGAGGCUAAAACUUAUGAUAAAUGAAAGGACAACUGUGUGCUUCAAUGACAACCUUGGAAUCCAAUUGUCGCAUGUUGUAAGUUGUAACCCAUUCUCUCUCUCUCUCUCUUUUUUUGGUUCGUUCGUUGAUUCACAACAAUUGGAAACAAAAAAUCUUGUUUAAUAAUAUAAGUUUAGUCCCUUUUUGGAUUGUAGUCGGGAGUUUGAAUCUUACCUGUAGGAAAAAAAAAAUUAAGAGGAGGUGCUAAAACACCCUUUUAGUCUAGUCGGAUUUUUAAAUCUAUUAAUUUCCUAUAUAUAGUUUCUUUAAACUCAUCUGCAUAUUAAUUAUGAUAGAUUAAGUUAUAAAAAAAUUAUAGUUAUGGUAAAAAAAAAAUGAAAGGACAACUGCGUGCUUCAAUGACAACCUUGGAAUCCAAUUAUAGCAUGUUGUAACCCAUUCUCUCUCUCUCUCUCUCUCUCUUUUUUUUGGUUCGUUCGUUGGUUCACAACAAUUGGAAACAAAAAAUCUUGUUUAAUAGUAAUAUACAAAGGAAACAAACAAAGGGCAAGAUGCCACCACGAAGCUUCCCUGGAGCCAUGUCCCUAAUAAAAAGUUAACCAAAUGUAUUUACACAGGGAACCACAAUUAUUAAUUCCCUCCAAAUUGCGAUUUGGCAAAUCUAUCCAAGAAUCGUGAAACACAAUUUGGUCGGCGGUUGAAAAGGUAUAUUUGGGGACAGGAAUCGAUAAUUCCCUCCAAGCGGCACUCUGUUUGGUUAGUGAUUACUAAAAGCGAACGAAAGAACAGUGGUUAAUAAGGUUUAUUGAUACAGGGGAUCACGAUUUGUCAUUCCCUCCAAACCGCAGUUUGGCAAUUAAUUAAAGGAGAUGAAACAUAAUUUUUGGUUAGUGCUUAAUAAGGUAUGUUUAUACAGGGGACCAGAAUUAAGAAUUCCCUCCAAAAUGUGGUUUGGAGACGUAUCCAAGAAUCACGAAACAGGAGAGUUCUACAAAAGGUACCUACGAUAGUGUUAUGUAGCAAUUCAAGGUUGGAUGUAUAAAGAGAGAUAUCAAUUUUUAAAUAGUUUUAAGAGUUUAGGUUAUUGGAUAAUGUAACAAGAAGAGUUUCUUGAAUUACAUGAGUAUGAUAGCGAAAGGGGAUGGUGAAAUUUCCCAUCAAAUACGAGCUGGUCAGUGCUUAAUAAUACCGAUUAAUAAUUAAUACAUUUAUGAUUUAUCAUACUAUAUGGGAUCACGGCUAAUAAUUGCCUCCGUGCUGCAGUUUCGCAGUUAAAAAUUGCCGGGAACAGCAUCAUUUUCUUCCCGAUAAUAGUUGAGUUGAUCUCCUUCCUCUUCCCCCAGUUCUUUUUAUCCUCAAAUCGGGAUCAGAUUCUCAGAAGUAAACGAUGGCAGCUGGUUCACCCCUCCAGCUCCGACCUCUUGGCAACACCGGCCUCAAGCUCAGCUCCAUCGGCUUUGGCGCCUCCCCACUUGGCCGGGUCUUCGGCCCCGUCUCUGAGGAGGAAGCAAUCGCCUCCGUUUGUGAAGCCUUUCGCCUUGGCAUCAACUUCUUUGACACCUCCCCGUGAGAAAAAAGAAAUCCCGUUUUUCAUUUUGAUUUUAAUUAGCUGGUUUCUUUUUCUAAUUUGCUGAUAAAAUGGGUUAAUUUGUACUAACAUUUGACAAUUGUUUUUUAUGCGAUUUAGGUACUAUGGAGCGACCUUGUCGGAAAAGAUGUUGGGGAAGGGUUUGAAAGCACUUGGGGUGGCUAGAGAUCAGUACAUUGUAUCUACAAAAUGUGGGAGAUAUCAGGAGGGUUUUGAUUUCAGUGCUGAGAGAGUGACCAAAAGUGUCGAUGAAAGCCUGGAAAGGUUGCACCUGGAUUAUGUUGAUAUAUUGCUUUGUCAUGAUAUUGAAUUUGGUUCUCUUGAUCAGGUGCCGUAUUUUUUGUACUUCUUGCAUUUUGAAUAGUAGGGGAUAAGAAAAUUAUUUUAUUAGGUAGUUAUGAACUCUGUGGCUCGUUUUAUUUGUUUCUCCAACAGAUUGUAAACGAGACAAUUCCUGCCCUUCUGAAACUAAAGGAAGCAGGGAAAACGCGAUUUAUUGGUUUAACAGGAUUGCCAUUAGGGAUUUUUACUUAUGUGCUUGAUCGAGUACCACCAGGUACGAUUGAUGUGAUUCUCUCCUAUUGUCACUAUAGCAUUAAUGAUUCGACAUUGGAAGGUCUACUGCCCUACUUAAAGAGCAAGGGUGUUGGGGUGAUAAGUGCCUCUCCCCUAUCUAUGGGGCUUCUUACAGAAAGUGGUCCUCCAGAGUGGCACCCUGCUCUUCCUGAACUGAAGGUUUUGAUUCUCUUUUCUGAUUAGCAUCCUUUUCUAGUUUUUAUUUAUUUUAAGAGCUAAAUACACAUACUUUCUUAACCUUUGCACGUAAUUUAGAAUGUAAACACUGGCAAGUUUGGUCUGUUUGUUGCCAGUGUCAUGGUGAGAGCCUUUCGUAUUGUAUUAAUUGUUUGCCUGACAAAUGUUAUUCCGGUAUCUAUGCUACUUUCAUACUUGACCUCUUUUUGUGUCAAACUUCAUCUUAGACGUCAAUGCUACAAAACUGAUCUCAGACAAAUAUAGUGUGUUACCUCGAUGCUUUAUGACAAGGUGAUCAUGAUCUUGCAUAAGUCUCAACUUUUUCACUGUAAAGAACCUUACUUUAUGUAGCUUAAAGUGUGUUAUGUAUAUUGUACUGUGUGUCGGUUACUUCUCUCAAAGUUGUGUUGAAGAAAUUACCUCGUAAUGGGCCAAUGCCCAUCCGACAAGGUGUAAAAAGUGAUGGAGGAUUUCUGGUAGAGCAAUCUCAGGAGAUAAGUGGGCAAACUCUAUGAGAGUAGCCCCACAGGAGAUAAGGUUUUUUUAGAAGAACGCUUGUCUGCUUGCUUGAGUGCAGUACAAAUCAAUUGCAUCUUGGUUUAUGCUCACUAACGCAGUCAUCUUUUAAGUCCUUACUAUUAUUCUGGAUGUGUCAUUGUCUGGAGCUUACUCUCAAUCUGGUUGAAAUACCCUAGUUUGCUUUUCCUCAGGCUGCAUGUCAAUCUGCUUCUGCCUACUGUAAGGAGAAGGGAAAGAAUAUAUCUAAAUUAGCUAUUCAGUUCAGCCUAUCAAAUAAAGACAUCUCUACAAUACUGGUUGGAAUGAACUCUGUCACCCAGGUAAGGUUACUAUACUGAGCCUGAAUGUCAACAACGUACAAAUACAAAAUUUGGCCUUGUGGAGAAAUUUUUCUUGUUAGCCAAUGAUCUUUCUUUAGUAUUUCACCUAGACCACGCUUCAAGAGAUUCACGAUUAGCUACAAUCUGUUUUAUUUUACAGUCUUUGGUAUCAUUGCCAUUCCUAACUUAAGUCAUUUCUCCAAUAAAAGAUAAGGAUCUGAAGACAAACGCGUGUGGAAAAUGCAAAGCAUGCAUGUUUUUCUUUUGAGAUAAAUACUUGAUGGUAUUGGAUUUUCAUUUUAGAAGAAUUAUAAAGAGGUAUACCGAUUCGAUCUAAGCUCUCUUAUAAAGAUUAUUUCUUUGUUCUGAUUUUUAUUCCGUGUAAAACUUUGUUUCAUUCCAUGUCUCUUCAAUUGUUAUUUUUAACUUUUCCAGACAACUUUAAAUUUAGGUUAAGAGUAGGGAAUCUAGGGGAUUAUGAGUAAUGUCUUAUCAUUUCCUCGGUGAUACAGCACUUGACAAGCUUGAGACGGUUUUCUGAAAAGAAGAAGGCCUAGCAUAAUAUAAUUACCAUGAAGAAUUAGAGGAACCAGUGAUCGUCCCUGGCUGCCAGAUUUGGGGGUUAGGGAGGCUUAGGGGAGGGAGGGAUGGGUAAAAAAGAAGAAGAAGAAGAAGAAGAAUUAGCAGAACUAUUAUUUGUAAUGAGUUGGGGGCUGCUGGUUCCUACUUUUAACCAUCAGUUCCACUGUGAUAUAAGUAACAAACAAAGUUGUGGAUCAUCAGGUUGAACAAAAUGUAGCGGCUGCAGCAGAGCUUGAAACAGUAGGAAAGGAUGAGAAAUUACUGGCUGAAAUUGAGAAGAUUUUGGAGCCCGUGAAGAACCAGACGUGGCCAAGUGGAAUUCAGCAGCUUUGAUAUCGUAUCUGCUAUUAACUGCUUAGCAUCUGUUGCAUGGACAUUUCCAAGGUUUCUUCUCAUCUCUGUGAAUCCCAAAUUGGUGGUGUCUUUCCUUAUUCUCUUUCUUUUUAAGGGUACCCGGUUUAGUUAAAGCUCUGUAUCACCCAAAGCCAAGGGAAAAUAAAAAAGAAGCUUAGCAUCUUCAUUCCAGAUGGUGACCAUAUGUACUUUAUCGCAUUGCGUCCGAGAUUACCGAACUAGGGAGUCUUACAUAACACUUGUGGAUCCAUUUAUCUUGCAUUAAUCCAGGAAUUGUUAACAUUGUCGGCUUCAACUGCGCGAAUUCGGGAGCCCAAGAUCACCUUAAACAAAAAAUAAUUGCGGACAACAAUUAAGCGAAGGAGUUAUACUAAUUAGCAUCUACAAUAGCUUCUCUAACCAUUAGUAAAGCCAUCGGCGAUUAUGUCAGUGAGUGCAAAACAACAAUCUCUAAACUCAGGCCAACGAUCUGUCUCAAAAAUUCGAACACAAUUCUUGCAGUAAUGAACCCAUUUCUCACUUGAACUAUAAUCUCUGAUUGUCAAUCAAGUACAUGGAGAGAAGAUACCACUUCCACAAUAAGAUAAUGUACAUUCCCCCCCCCCCCCACCCCAAAUAUUAAUUUUGAGAUUUUGCUUUGUACAAAGUGUAAACAAUCUUUGAGUUCUGCUUUCCUAUUUCAAAUUGAUCUACAUUGUAUCCGUGACAAAUGUCAGAAUUUACUUGCAUGUAGCAAUGGAUUCCCAUUCAAAUAGCAAGCAAGCAUCUUCGACUUUCACUACCUCGCAACCUGCUGUAAAGGAGGCCAAGCAAUCUCAUUAUCAUCCGUAUAACCACGUAUGACGAAGUCUGAGCAGUUCUUCCUGCACCCGUGGUUAUACGGGUUGCGAAAGCGGCCAUCUGGCCCGCGAAGAUAUCCAUAACGUAUAGCAUUUGCCAUUUCAUUUGUGGUAAUAUUCCUAGAGAUCUGCGCGGCAGAAGACUUGAUCAGUUACCAGUACCAAACACGACUGAGCAUCCAAGACAACAUUUUCACUAUGUGAAAAGUUAAAACCCAAAACAAAAAAUGGAAUUUCCUUGUUCAAACUAAGCUAUGUCUUCGAAUUUGGCAAAAGUGGGAAGGGGGCCAGGCACUCAAUUUCUAGCAUUGCCGCAACAAGGCAACAACUUUCGACCACAAGACUUGAACCUGAAUUUUCCGUCACAAUUCACCCCAACAAUACAAGCUUGAAUCUUUUCUUUUUCUGGGGGCCACAGGGGGAGGAAGUGCAUAAGACAAGAAAAUUUUGGUUCUUCUUGCCAACUCUCUUUCAUUAUCUGUUCUUUUAUUCCCCAGUUGUGUUUAUGUGGUGGUGAAUAGGAGGGUGUUGAUCCAUUACCUGUGAAACUUGAACUAUCAAUAGAGUUGCAGCAGCAAGAAGAAUAGAUCCAUCCAUGAUAAGAAAUGCGACAACCCCAGGGUGUUCAAAAAUAACGUGAUGAAUCCAUGUUUCUCCCUGUAGCACAAAUACUGAUGUCCAAAUUCCUGCCAUAUCGAGACAUUAUUGUUAUUCGUGAGUAAGUGAAGACAUAAAUGCUAUCAAAGACUUAUCCAACUUACUUUGAAGAGCAACAGCAGCACCAAUUAAUGAUGUCAUCAUCCCCAAACAGAGAAAAAUGAAAAAGUCACGUUUAUUCCUCUACAAAAACAUCAGAAGAAAUGAAAUAGUGAAGCCAAGGAUAACUAUUCAGUAUGUAACUGCAAAGUGUAAAACAACCUACAAGUAUUGCCACCAAUAGUAGCAAAUUUUUAGAUAAUAUGUUAGAGAAAGUCUAUAUAUGAAACCAAAGCCACAUGAAUUAACAGAGAGAGUUUGCAAGUGCAAAGCAGGAUUCGGUACAUUUCAGCAUCAACAGCAUCAUAUAUAAGAAAGAUAGUAGCAGAAGACCAAACUGUAUUUAAUAACUUCUGUCGCAGAAUCCCAUCAUAAGGCUAUAUUACAAAGGCAGGCAACCAGUGAAACAUCUCAUUCUGUGUAAAAGAAUUGAAGUACGUCAAAAAGUGACUCCAACUUAAGAUCUCUAUCACGAAGCCACAAAAGAAGCUCAUUCUCCCAGGACAAAUAGAGAAACACAGGGGCUUAAUAAGAGUAAGAAACAAGCAGGAACCAACAAGUUGAACCAAUAUUGAAUAACCGAGAUUUCUUAUGAAACUAUGAACAAACCUAAAUAUACUGCAAUAUAGUUACUUUAAUCAGCAAAUAACACUAAGACCUACCUUCCCCACACAAUUUGAGAUCCAGGGACAGUGAUGGUCAAACUGUUCCACACAGUGUUUGCAAGUUGGACAGUGCUUUGAGCGAACUGGUCUUAUUAUCUAUACAUAAACCAAAAAGAGAGAUGACCCACAUAUUACUAAAUGUAAGAUACAAAGGAUUUUACAUACUCUGCUUCAAAAUUUAACUAAUUAGCAUAGAGAAAAGUUAGUUUACAUAUUUCUAGAGCAUAUUAAAUUGGUAGCAGAAUAACUCAAUUAUAAAACCUUGCAGGUAGGGCAGAGCUGAGACCAAUUUCCAGUCCAAACUGAGGAACUGUUCAAAUCAAUGUUCAACAAAGGAUCCUGCGAAAGUUAAAUAACCUAAUUAAGAAUCAAAAGAUGAAGACGGCCAUACCAAAAUCUAAAAUUUGCAGAAAAAGAAGAUGCAAGAAGGUGAUAGGCAGAGAAACACAGAAGAGCUCAAGUACCUCUGAGUCAAAAUGACUAUCCAUCCCAGUCUUUAUAUAACCUGGAUCUUUGCUGCAAUUGAAUCAGAAAGCGCCAUCAGACAACAUGAAAAAAAAUUAUGCAGAGGAUUAUGUGCUAAGUAUCAUAAAAUGAGGACCGAUGCAACUAGCGGUACCAUGUUUGACAUUUACAAUAAACAGAACAAACAAGAAGCCCAGACAAAAUGAUCAAUUGUUUCUGAAAAAUUAAAGCUGAAAUGGGAACUUCAAACACAUAAAAUAAGCAACUGCUGGUGAUGACACAAAAUACUAGUUCCAAGCCAACCACUAUCACUUUUUCAAAAUAAAAUCAUGACAAAGCUACUAGGCCCCAGUCACAAACAGUGCUCUAAAAGAUCAUGGCGAAUCUUUCCGAGUCCUGGAAUUGAACUUCAAUAACUUCAUCAAAUUUGACAGAUCUAAACUAGGCCAUGCUUUAGCUUAUUUACUUAAAAACUACCUUUUGAUGCUUUAGUACAAAAGCAAAUUUUGGGGACAAUAUGAUUUCUUGCUCACCAAAUUGAGUUUUCUGUUCAUACUUUGACAAUAUUUAAGUAUAUUUGUAUAGAAAUCUAAAUUAUGAUAAUUUUAAAUAGAAAAGCAAUCAUGUCUGCAAAAGUAAACAAACUCUAUUCUAUAACUAAAUGAUUCACAUUCAGCUGCGUUUCCAGAUUCAGCAAUACGAGAAACCUGCUAAUUCACAUUUUCCACCCAUAACUUGUUUCUGUAAGCAGUCUAUCACAGUUGAUGACACUUAUCAGCUGGAAGUUAACUGCUAGACUAAUCAAAUGCAUACACAAGUAAUGAAAAGAUAGAUGCAAAAGAAUGCAGUUCACACACAAAAUGGCAUUCAGAUCAAAAGAAAUCAUAGCACAAUAUUCUGUAUAGGAUGAAAAGAUACAUACCUGCUACAGCGGACAAACAUUACCAGUGCUGCCACUCCCAGAGAAACACCAGUCCAUCCCCAAAGUCCAACUACAGCAGUUACUUUUGUCAUAUUUGAAGCUAGCACAAGUGUUUUGAAAAGAUUAGCAAGGAAGCAAUUCUAACUUGAUAUAUGGAAUAGUCUAAAAUUUAUAGAUUUAAUUACCAAAAAUGACUGAAUUCAUGAAGAGAAUGAUGUUGAAAACUACAAGAGAGAACAGAAUUGGAGCAUAACCAAUAUUUCCGUUCUUCCAAGGGAAAAUUUUGUUCUGCCAGCCCUUACUGUGUGCAUGCAGAACAUUAGACUGCAACAAAAACAAAUCAGAUCGUAUCAAAAUCAGCCUUCCUAAAGGUAAAACUGUCCUAUUUUGAUACUCGAGCAGAAUAGAUAAAUUGUUUCAACUCACAUGACAGGAAAGUCAAAGAAAAAUCUCUACUUGACAAGCAGAAGAAUGCGCUAUUUCAGUUAUAUGUGACACAUACUAACUCUCCUAAUUAGAUUAGGAUUUUUUGUCACUUUGUUUACUUUGUUACUUCUAAAAUUCUUAACUUUAGGAUGCAUAACUUUUACCAUCUCACAAUUUAUAUAAUAGCCCCUUAGCUAAAGAACCAAAAAAAUUAAAAAAAAAAAAACCAAGAACCAAAUAUAGUUGAAUUCAAACAUUACAGCACUACUGCCCUGCAUACAAGAGAAGCAUCACCAGCAUAGCUGUCAAUACUCCUAAAGUUUAUCAAAAGAAAUAUGGAUUUUAGUGUAUUCUCAUUCUCCCAUCUUUUAAAAUUGUUAAAUAUUUAAAUGUGUAUCAUGAGCCAAGAACUACAGUAGGUGGAGUAUGGAAAACUUUGCACGUUGAGCCACCAUCAGAUUUGAGUAAAACACUUCAGCAACUUGAAAGGCCAGAAACAGACAGUUUUGGGGGUAACAGCUACUAAUCUUAUAUACAACUAGAAGUUAUACCAAUGCAAAGUUACCUACGAGGGAAAGACCAAUAUGUCGAUGACCUUUGUCAAAUGCAAGCUGUACAGGCGUAAACCCAGCUUUAUCCUUCACUAGUAGUUCCUCCUUAGUGCCUGUGUGUAGGAGAAUAGUACAUGCUUCUGCAUAUCCUCUUAAUGCAGCCCAAUGCAGAGGGGUACAGCCUACAUUUCAAUGACAGAUCAAUUUGGCCAGAACGAGUUAUCAAAUGAGAUUACAGAAAUAAGUGUCCAGUCAAUUAAUGUAUAAAGCAUUGUGUCACCCACAGUUGCCUUUAGUUCUUUGGCUAAUACAAAAGUAUCCGAGUGACAUCCAUGUUUAAGUCAAAAUGGAUAUUCACCACCCUAAGUGAAUUUGCAUGAUCAAAUAUCCUUGAGGAAUUCAACAAAAGCCCUUGAGUCCCACUCACAUAAAGAACCUCUCUCUACCCUCUCUCUACCCUCCCUCUCCCCCUUCUUCCCCCACCCCUUGUUGCAUCAGUCCUACUAACAAUUCUUCUUCACUCCUCCUCCUCCUCAUGAAGGAUGAACAGCCUCUGGCAGACUAGUUGUGGAUUCAAAGAACCCAUCAGGCAUUUACCAAAUGGAAUAUGUAAUGUGCACUCACAUGCCUGAGUCUUGUCAUGUCAACCUGUCUGCUUUCGGGUUUAACAACGAGCUGAGCAACAAAGACUCCAAGGAUAAACAGAACAAGCAAAAGUGCCACAAUACAAUAUCAACGUACCUCCUUUAUCCUGCCUCCCUUGGUAUGCAUCUCUAAAUAGCAAUAAUCUGAUUGUAUCAGAAUAUCCCUUGUAAGCAGCCCUGAAAGAGACCAUUUAAGCAGGCAUAGGCCCAUUAGCAGAAGAGAAACUCAAGUUCAGGAAACUGGCAUCGUAUGUCACUAUUGAAAUAAUGAUAAUAAUACCUAAACUAACCGAGAAAAAAAAAAGGCCAAGCAAAAGAGUAACUAAUCCAACAACUGUAAUUGAAUCACAGCAUCACCCACAAUAUGAUGGUCAAGUAAAAGAAAACUCCUGAUCAAUAUCUUCAGCUAACAGAACAAUACGCCUCUAUGGAUAAGCAGAGUUGCACAUAAUCAUUAAGUAAGCACUUCAGAAUACAUUUAAGUUGUACUUUCAUUUACCAUAUUAGCUAGUAUGGCAGACAGAAGCAUUUAGCAGACAAAAACGACAUCUGUCAUUAAAACCGCUAAUCCAGGAAACUCCAGAUAUUACAAGAUUCGGAUCACCCCUUUGCUCUUAUUUGACAAUAAUAGAUGACUAGAUCGGUAUUUCUAGAACAAAAAAUGAAAAUUAGAAAUAGACCUGUUAAUAGAAUAAGAAUGGGACCAGAUUUCUCUAUCUAGACUCAUUUUACCCCUCAAUGUGACAAAAAAAGCAAGAGAAUGCAACAGCACACAAUUUCAAUUUUGACUUUCCAUCUAAAUCUCAUUGUUCCUCUUGUCUUCCAACUUUUCCACUCAAUUCCUUUACCCAAUUUCAUUUAGAUGCCCCAUCUAGGUACUGAAAAUUUUUUAACAAGUGGUAUGCUGGAGGGAUUUUGCCCAAAGCAAAAAAGAAGAAAAAAGGAAGAGGGAAAAAAAAGGGGAAGAAGAAGAUACAGAUGCAGCAAACAAAUAUAACAUACCAAUGUAGGGGACUUCUUCCAUCAUUAUCAGGCACAUCAAAUUCAGCAUAAUACUUUGCAACAAUGUGAUUUAAGAAUGCUGUUUGUCCAUAUUGAGCUGCUACAUGAACUGCCUGCAAUGUCAGUAGUUACUACUUUGAAAUUAACUGCCAAGGUAUUAGUUAUCUGAAUUAAAUCAAAAGCAACCUUUAGUUUUGGGUGCACAAAGUUCUGCCGAGUUCAUACUUAAAUUUUCUCCCCAAGAAAAAUUAAAAACUUCAAAAAGAAUGUGUUUUUACGUUCCGAUCACUCCAUCGCUUGAAUUGCAUCUUACAUAGAAUAAUGAACAAUGACACUACUGAAAGUAAGUUUCAGCGGUAAUUACUACAUCAUAAGAAUAUUCAACAAGCCAGCAAAACAUUACCCGAUAACCAUUAACAUCAACAGCCUCGACUCGCGCCCCGUUCUGCAACAGAACAUCGGCAGCUGCAAUUGAUCCCCUGACAGCCGCCCAAUGCAACGCCGUUUGUCCAGAAUUGUCCGAAGCAUUAACAUCACCACCGCGCUUCAAGAUGAUCCAAAUAAUUCGAUCUUGGAGCAAAAUUGAGCCAAUAAUAAUAAUAAAAAAAAAAGAAUCUUCGAACACUAAUUAAUUCCUAAAGAACAAUUACCUGGAUGAUAUAUUGUGCUACAUCAGGGAAAUUAUUCAGAGCGGCCCACUGGAGAGCGUAGUAGCCGUUGCCGUCGGGUUGGGAGACAGAAACGCCGUCGUUUUCGACGAAAUUUCGAAGUUUGUCGAAGUCGCCGUAGGCGGAAGCGGAGAAAAUGUCAACAAUGGCAACCUGGGUAGGGUUUUGGCAAGCGUUCUUCUGAUCGUUGGAGUCGGAUACGAUUUCGAUCUCGGAUGACGCCAUUUUCAGAUCAAUCAUAACAUGCCAGUAGCUUACUACUAUUAGAGCUUCUCUUGAUAGAAAUAAUUAAUUUCGGGGGUUUAGGGCUUAGGGUUUAUAUAUAAUGAUUCGAUGGGCGGGAUUUACCGUUUCAAUUAUCAGGUGCUUAAGCGCUUUCCGCCAGCUUUUAGCUUUGGCAAGAUUACUUACCAGAGAAGUCCAGACUUCAGACUUUGACUCGCACGGCUCUAAAUUUCCAAUCAGGGACUCCAUAAAAAGGUAUUUGCGCAACCGGCGACAUAAUCUUUGGAUAUUCAUCUGCUUCCCAUUUAAGUUUUGUAUUCCAUAUUAAGUGCCCAUUCAACACAAUCAGUUCUAGUUUACCGAAUAUAUUUGCAAUUAUUCUGGUCCAAUUACCUUCUAGUGUAAAUAUCUGCACAAUAAUUCCACUCUCAAUAUUUUUAUUUGGAAUUUAAGAGUAUAUUAUUACAUGGAAGCACCAAAUGUGUCAUGCAACACGCCCAAAAAGUUUGUGUUAUACUAGGCAUGGUAGGUGAUCGAUGCUUUCAUGCUGAGUCGCUGACAAAAGCCCUAAUGCUGACAAAAUGACAAAUUGACUAUUUGCAUGACAUAAUACAAAACAAAAGGUACAAAACUAGCAGACUAUUAACUCCUGACAAGUUAGAGUCGUUCUUUUUUUUUUUCCCUUGACAUUUCUCACCUCUCAAAUGUGACGUAGUUAUUUCUUUAUUCUUCGAUAUAUUUUACACUAUACUUGCCCCAAAAUUUCAAGUAGUAGUCCGUCCGGAUCAAGGGUCUCUUUAGUUGAAUUUUGUAAUUUUUAUGACUUUUGAUAGAAAUUCAAAUAACCUUAGUGUAGUUAUAAUUUUCAUGCUACUAAUUUAAUUGAAUGAGCCGAGAAAUUUGCUUUUAUACUAAAAUGGGGACAUGUUAAUUAUAAUUAUACGUAUCGUACAAAAUUAGAGACAAUACUACAACUUGAGAGGUACAGGCUAUAAUUGGAGCUUAGCAUUAUCUCCGAUGAUUUGAUAUGAAAGUGUCAAUCACAACCUAUUUAUAUUGAUUCGUCCAAACCCGCUCAUUAAUAAGUGGAUCUGAGAAUACAAUACAAUUUGAAUGAAUUUUAACUUUACAUGAGUAACUCAGGUAGAUUCAUUUAAUCAGUAGAUAAUGGGUUAACUCAUUUCACCCAUUUAAAGUAAUUACAUGUUCAAAAUCAAUAUUUGGCGAGUAUUAAGGGGAUAUAUUUGAAUAUUUUAUUGAUCUAAUCACAAUAAAAUGUCAUGGGAAAGAAUUAAAAAAAAAGAAUUUCAAACAGGUCAUAAACUCAUGCACAUUUAUGCCUAUUUAGUAUAAAUGGAUCAAUUCAAUUAUACCAUCACCCAAUUAUAAUCCGUCCAAACCAUUCUGACACCGCUGAAUGUUAAGCUAUCUAUAACUAUACACAAAAAAAUUACCAUAACAACUUACAUCACCUUGCAAAAUGUAUCGAAAUUAAACCAACACAGAGGAACGAGAGGGAAGUGAGGUGAACUGUUGAGAACUCUUCCGAUAAGUAUAUGGCAGUUGCAAUUAUCAUUGUAAGCCAAUUUGGGAGUUUAGGUUAGAAAAGAAAAUAUGGGAAAUGUUAAGUUAUGAAAGAAAAAAAAAAGGAGGAGAUUUUAACGUUGUUGUCUGGAAGUUAAGGUAAAAAAAUGGAUGACUUCGGAUACAUAUAUAUUAAUAAAAAUUUGUUCAAUACACGUACAAAAUUGUAUUUAAAAAAAUUUUAUUCGACAAUCUCAGCUUCUCCUUUACUUGCCUGGGCAGAAAACUUUGACAAGCAAAGUAGUAGGAGUUCAUCCCUUCAAAUCAUAUGCUUUCCGCUCUUUUUCUGCCGCUCAAAUACUGCCAAACGUUAGAAAGACGCCCUUCUUGUCACCUUCUUUUCUUUUCUCGUCAAAUCACAGCUCCCAAACUAGCUAUAGCGACAAAUCAAACAUCACAAUCAUCUCGUCACCACAUGAUUCUAAUGUUAGGAAAUUUCAUUAGCAAGCAAGCAAAUUUUAAGCAACCAAGAGGAAAAUGAAAAAUUUUAUACAAGCAACAGCGAGCUAAUGCAAUAUUAAAUUGUUAGGAAUGGUAGCUGCCGGAGUUAUGGUGUCAUUGAUACCAGGGAUCGGCUCCACUUGGCCAUUAACGAAGAGCCCAUUUUUCAGGCGAUCGAGUACUAUCAGCCUCCGCUUCAUCAGCGAAAACACCAAGCGACUUGAGCAGCAGGGGCACGCCAUUCGCCGUAAUUUUAACCACCCUGGUUACCAGAUCCAAGAAGAAGGCCAGGUUGAUAGCCAUGAUUACAGAGUCUUCUUGCUUGAUAAUACUGGCAAAAAGGUAUACGAAAAAUAAUAGGGGAAAAAAUCAAAUUCUUCAUAUGUUAUUUGACCGUGAUCUGACGAUAUUGUGUCAGAAAAUGUUAAACCGACUCACUGAACUAAAGAGAUAACUGACUCAGUGAAGUGAUAGAAUGGAUAAAUUGGGUUCUUCUGUCAACGUUUCAGUUUCAAUUAUUUCAUUAGAUGAACUUUGCUCAGUUUUGGAAACGUGUUAAAAGGGGUGAGGAAUCCUGCUGCUUAGAAUCUGCUCUUUGUUUUAAAACAAAACAAAGACCCUUUAAAUACUGAGCUAUAUUCGGUCCAGGAAAUGCUCGAAUUCGAUGUUGGUGAUUGGCUAAGAAAGUGUGGAAUAAAUUAAUGUACUCCGUAUUGUCUCUAACACCUCAAAAACAAUUAAAAUCUUAUAUUACAUUUGUGUGAAUGGUGUAGCUACAUAGAAGAUGAACUUGUGACUUCUGUCUCAUACUGUCCAUCUUCUCGUCUGAUUCCCGCUUUUUCUUUUUCUUUUUUUAAACAGUGUUCAUUAAAUGUGCAGAUUUCGCCUUGGCACGAUAUACCCCUACACGUUGGCAACGGCGUGUUCAAUUUUGUUGCUGAAAUUUCUAAAGAUUCAAACUUGAGAAUGGAGCUUGCCACCGAUGAACUAUACACCCCUCUCAAACAAGAUAAAAUAAGGGGUAGAAUUUGGUAAUGCGUGCAAGGAUGCUUUUAACUGUUGUCUUCAUGCUAAGUGUAUUCUCUCCAUUAGGCAUGCUAGGAAGUUUCUAAAAUUUGCAUAUCUUUUGGUUUUUGUAUGUUAAGUCAUAUUAACAUAGCAUAUAAAUAUCUGUUUGCCAGCUUCAUGCUAACAGUAAUUCUUAACAAAUUUGUCUUCCUCAAGAGAUGCUUAAUGAAUGUGAUGAAAAUGAUACAGUUAGGCUACAGGGAUUACUAACUUGAGCUUUCAAUCAAGGAGAUGAUUAUAGCAUUUUUGCCUCUAAGGUAUGUCCAACUUAUUUUCUACAACUUCACCAUUCGGCUGCUAGUUUUCUCCGUCUUCUGGGAUAGCUACUUUCUCACUGGUGAAACCAGCUAGUCAGAUAAGUGAAUUCAACCAUAUUUUAUAGGCAAUCGUGUCAUUAAGGCUGGCAAGCAUUAAGCAGUUGACUAUGAACUUUAGUUUACACAAAGGAAUAUAAGCAUGGUGUGGUUGGAAAUUGCAGCUAUCAUACUUUACUUAUCUAUGUCAAUGAUAGUUGGAUUUUGGCACUUAUAAAGGAAUCUAAAUUAAAAAUUUUGUAAUUUCCCGAGUAUUUUUACAAAAUGCAUAUGUAAUAAUACCAAGUGUCAUAAUAGGAGAUGAGAAGGCCUGAACAUAGACAAGAUUGUUUAUCGGGCCUUUAGGUGAACGUUUUAUGUUUUGGUUAAAAGUUUUUGUGGGAACAUUGUGUAAUUCAUUGCAAAAUGUAUCUUCUUCUUGUUUCUUUUUCAGCAUUAGUUACCAUCAUAUAAUUGUCUUAGAUGCACUAUGAAGUGGAAUUAUGGAUUGCUUCCUCAAACUUGGGAAGAUCCUUCAUCUGCAAAUCCAGAAGUUGAGGGCGCAUUUGGAGAUAAUGAUCCUGGUAAACAUCUAUCUAUUCUUAUCUUGUGAUCAACGUUUCUACUGAAAUAAUGUGUCUUUUUCUACUGCUCUAACCAAAAGGAAUAACAGUUUUAUAGAAAGCAUAUUUAUUUCAUACAUCUGAGAGUCCCUUAAAUAUGCAGUUGAUGUUGUUGAGAUUGGGAGCACCUCUGCCAAGGUUGGUGAGGUUUUGAGAGUCAAGCCACUAGCUACUCUUGCACUGAUUGAUGAGGGUCAACUUGAUUGGAAAAUAAUAGCUGUUUCCCUGGAUGAUCCAAGAUGUUCUCUCGUUGAUGAUGUUCAUGACAUUGAAAAAUAUUUUCCGGUAUGUUUAGGUUCAAUGAAGCUCACAUUUUUGCUUUACAGCUUCUUUUUUCUGUAUUCCAUUCAUCUGCAGAUAAUAAUGUUCUGUUUUUUGGCUUACUCUGUCAGGACAAUUUCUCAUAAUGGUAUUAAAAGAUGUAGGACUCCCACCGCAUCUCAGUAUAAAGUUUCUUUUCAAUUUAGCAGCAUGAAUGUCAUUUUGGAGGCCUAGUUUCUGGGUGUUUGAAAAAGUGGUGAUUUGGUAAUCUAAUCAGGGCUACCUAAUAAUCUGGCCAUGAAUCGCUUUUGAGUAUGAGAUACUUCAACCUGGGCUUCACAUUGUUCUUCUAGACAUCUGUAAGCAUGCAAAAGAAAGCAUGAUUAAUUAGGUUAAGAAUUUAUAAUUGGAUGAAUGAUCACAUUAGCUCGACAAUCCAUGAUAAAGUAUAUAAAUAUGUGAUCUAUUGAAGACAAAAGCAACAGGCAAAGAAUUAAUCUGCUAAAGAGAAGUUCAUAUUUGGUAAAGAUGUCUCUUACCGACAAGACUGAUUGGCUGGCUACCUCCUGGAAUAACCUUCUUUAUAAUCUUUUGCAAAUUUAUUGAUCUAUUUCGUGAUAAUACAUUUCUCUGGUCCAAGACUAAGCAUACAUUUUCUUCAGGCCACUCUAACUGCGAUCAGCGAGUUUUUUAGAGACUAUAAGAUCUAUGAUGGAAUACCUGGCAACAAGUUUGGUCUAGGAAACAAGCCAGCUAACAAGGUACACGGUCAAUUAUGCAAGAUCCAGAUUUGUCUUUUACUGAAUGGAUGAGUUAAAAGAUAUUCCAUUUUCCUGAUUCGGGAAAUGUCCUUUCAUAAAAGGUUUGAUUUCUUGUGAAUCAGUCAUACAACCUAUAUUUUGCUUAAUAUACCCUUAUCAUAAAUGCUCUAUGGCUUUUUGUUUUUGCUCUGCAUCAAUGUCUCAACUGCCCGAGUUCAUAGAGUGCUAAAACUCAGGGUAUCAAUCAUUUAUAUAUGGAUCACCAAACUCUAGUAAUCUAUUAGAGUUUGUCAGUAAUCUCAAGCAACAUAUUAUGGUACAACCUGCAAACUUCCAUUCCAACUUAUAAUUUGUUUCUAAAAGUCCAUUUAGUGGCAGCCCUUUGUUGAAAAUGCCUGCUAACAGAGAGGGAGAAAAAAUUCCCUUACCAUGUCAUUGUCUACUGAAUGUAGGUUAGGCAGAAGGGGUAAAGGAAGGGAGUGUCUUACUGUAGGUUUGAGACAAGGAGGGAGGGUUAGAACAGCCACACAAUGCUAUGUCGAGGGUAAUUUCUCUUAACAUUUUGGGGCGGAAUUUGCACUCUUUUGCUGUUGUGAAUACUUUAUUGGCAAUUUCUCUUCUUAUACUUAUUUUCUUGAAACAAAAGAUAAGUUACUUGGAAGAGAGAUUAUAACCCGCACACAUUCUUUUUUUCGAGGUCAGAGGAAGGUGGUACUUAGCCCCCCCGGGGGUGGGGGUUCCCUGGUUGUACUUUUGCUCUCAAAUAUGUUUUCGUUUCUAAAUUCAUAUGAGCAUAAUGGGGAUAACUGCUAAUUGGAUGGCCAUCGGGGUGGCUAACUACUUGAUUGUGUAUCAGUCUACCCUUUCCCUUGACUUCCCUCUUGCACCUCCUUUUGGCUUUUGACCUCCCCGUUAUCCUAUCCUCCAAUGGAGAUGAGAUGACUGAUGAGAGGAAAGAAGCACAUCCACCUAUUGAAGUCUUUUGUGAUGAAUGAAAAGGCUACGAGAGCAAAGAAAACAGAAAUUGGGGGGACGGAGGAAGUGGAAGACAGGAGAAGUAAUCAAUUUUCAUGCAGACAUUUGAUGCUGUUUAUUGUUUGCAUACGUCUUUGUUUCUUUCUCUACUUUAGCUCUUAAAUAUUAUGUCCUCCUAGUGGUUUUGAAGAAUCUAAUCAUUUUUGGACAGGAUUAUGCUGUCAAGGUUAUCAGGGAAACCAAUGAAGCUUGGACUAAACUUGUCACAAGGUCUAUCCCUGCGGGUGAGCUCUCACUUGCAUAAGCGUAAUGAUGGAGUGUUUGAGCUAUUUUUGUGUCUCGUAUCCUUGGCAAAAACAGAAAUGACCUGAAAUCUCCCACUGGAUUCUUUUUCUGUAACAAAUGUUGAUGAUGAUAAUAAGCUUGUCAGUCAUGACAAAACCUGGUGUUUUAGCAAAUAUGAUUGAUUGCACACAAGGGCUCUCAAAUCAUUUGUUGAAUCACAUGGCGAAGGCAUAUAUAUAUAUGAAACAAAAGUUACCUCCACCACCUGCAUCAACCAGGAUGGCCGCGCCGUUUGUCAACAUUUUCUACGACGCUUUUUCCGUGGAGAGCCUUUAGGAAGGUCGACGGCUGCUACUUUUGAGCUCUGAAGAAGAUGACAUCGUCCCUCCCAGAGAGCCCAGUCAUUGUUUAACCUGAGCAGAAGAAAACAUAAUACUUACAAUAAGUGAUCAUAACUCAAUAAGUAUCUUUUCUUAAUCAUUUGAAAGCAAAGUCAUAAAAUAAAAGUUGAAAACCUUGCUACUAGUCGAUUAUCCCCUGCUGAUUCGAUUAUAGUGUGUUUGGAUGGUAAGUUAUUUGCCCAAAUAUAUUUGCUUACAUCACCAUUACAAUUUCCAAUAUACCUUUUUAUCUUCCCAAUUACCUUUUUAUCUCACAUACAUCACAUCACAAAAAGUGCUACAGUAAAAAUAUCUCAAAUAACUUACAAUCCAAACACAAGUUUCCGGUUCUUGCGGUUAUUUUCGAUUCUCGAUCAAACCUGGUUUUAAUUGAUUUUUAUUCAAAGCGAUUUUUUGAAUGAAUUCGGACCGAAAGUCUAGCCGAUUUUGGUUCAACCGAUCGAACCGACUAAUCUAAUCCAAGCUUAAAAAUAUGGAUCAAAUAUUGAAAAAUCGCUACUAUCUUUUCUUAAUCUUUUGAAAUAGUUUCAAAAACUUUUCGUGAGGUUUUUAUUUUUGAUUCAUUGACCUCUCCUAAAUUUCUAACAAUAUCACUUAUCGGUAAUGUAACCAAAAAAAAAAGUUUGGGUGUAAUUUUUUGGCUUCCCUUAUUCUUUUGGCAUAAAUAGGUUGACAAAGACAUCAAUUUGGCUUGUGGCAACUUGGCACGCUACCCACGAGCCACGGACCUGGUUAAAUAAAUGCUGUAAUUGGUAGGAACAGAUGGAUGCUCUUAGAGUCUUAGUGCUUUAUUCCUCUGCUUUUAAUUGUAUUUUUAAGUCACUAUAAGCCUGCGAGAAAGAAGACCAAAUUUUUAGAGAUUUUAUAGAAAAACUUAUUAUAACGAUAGAAUAUAUAUGAAAUAAAAAGAUACUUGUUGGAUGUGUCAAUAAGUUUGUAUGCCUUAGAGCCUUUUGUGCAACAGUCAACCAAUCAGGCCUUAGCGUUUGGGUCUGUGGUCAACAAUUAACUAGAGCAGUAAACAGGAGUAAGCCCUGCUUCUUUGUUCGUCGAUUAUCAGCAGUCAACAAUCAGAAGCAGCAGCAGCAAUGGCGGCCACUAGAGCGAUAGUGUCAGCAAGCAACAAUAUCACCACUUCAUUAUUGAGAAAAGCCCCAUUGCGAGGCCCCAACAGCCUCAGCUUAUGUUUCAACUACAGCAACAAGAGUGGACUUGUUUUACAAAAGAGGAGACUUUUUACCUGCAGUGCUAUCUAUAAUCCCCAAGUUCAGAUUAAAGAAGAGGGCCAGCCUGAAACUCUUGACUACAGAGUCUUUUUCCAUGACGGUUCUGGCAAGAAGGUGUUUUUUUUUUUGUGGGUUUUAUUUUCUUUUGGUUUUUUGGCUGGUUUAUGCCGAAAUUUGUUCAAAGAUGCUUGCUUUAUGACCUGGGAUUGAAGGGUUUAGUUAGUUCUGAAAAUGAUGUUUAUUUGUUUCCUUUUUUGUGCUGGAAUCUGUUUAAAGAUGCGUGCUUUUAUGGCUUGUGAUCGAAGAAGGGUUAUUUGAUUUUGAGAAUGUUGUUUUUGUUUUUUUUCAGAUUUCUUGUUUGAUAUUCUCAAUCGCUUAAUAGAAUAACCAUAUGCUCUUUGUACUUCAUUAGACUGUUGGAGUUGUCUUGAUACUGUUGGCUUUGUAGCGAAUGUCUGAAAAAUUCUUAUUGACAUUCUUAAGUUCGAGUUUCUGAAAUCCCAUGUUUAAGCGUCUAGCGUGUUAAAGUUAGGAAAGGGGAAAGCUACCCAACUUCUGCUUUUGUUAUUAUACUUUUGAAUUAUUUGGGAGAUUUUAAAACUUAUAGUCAAGUUCGUAAUUUUGACAGUAUAAGCACUUCAUUUGCCUGGUUUCUGGUUACCAUGUGAGCCUUUUGAUAUCUUGUUUGCUAAUAUUUUUUGUAGUUUUAGUCGAAUAAAUUCAGGGUUUUAUACAAGCAAAUGUUUAGAAUAUUGAGGGGCCAUUCCUCCUCGGACCAGAUUUAGAAUUAUAGUCCGUUGAUUAUAUUGCUUCUUAAGCAAAGUAGUUGGCAAUGUGUAGUUAAUAAGUAAUGGGUUCUCUCGUAAAUUUUCAUGAGACAUUCUGUAUCAAUUUUAUGUGCAGAUUUCUCCUUGGCAUGAUAUUCCAUUGCAUUUGGGUGAUGGCGUGUUCAAUUUUAUUGUUGAAAUUCCGAAAGAAUCAAGUGCAAAGAUGGAGGUUGCAACUGAUGAACAUUUUACCCCUAUAAAACAAGAUACGAAGAAGGGAAAACUUCGAUAUUAUCCGUAAGACUAAAUUCAUAUUCUUUUUAUGCUUUUUAUUUACAUGUCUUAGGCUUGACUGAUCACUGCGGCUGCCCAAUUUGGAAUCACUAUGUAAACUUACUGGUGACAGACUGGUUAAUGGACACAUUUCAAUUGAUUUUGUACUCGGUGCAAAUUAUGUUAGUGCCUCACCUUUGAGUUUCUUUGCUGGUUCUCUGGUUCUCUCUGAUGGUUCAUGGACCUUAAAGUACCCUUAUUUCUCAUUCCCUUGAAUAAAUCAAGAGAUUUCAAAAGAUAGAUAUCUCUGACUAAGAAUUUCCUUUUAGAAUUCUUCACAUGGCAAGUUCAGAUUUUCAACCAGUCACACCUUAGACGUAGACUAAAUCAUCAACCAUUGACAUUCAGCGUGGAAGUUUUAGCUCCUAUCAGGGUGAUUAUUAUUUCCUUCAGUGGCUGAUGUUUGGCUUUGGGAUUCUUUUUAUCUAGCAAAAGAACACUAUCAUCUGUUUGUAAUUCUAUGCACAUAUUUCAGUUAUAUGCGUAUUACCUAUUGCACUAGCUUUUAUCUCUUUAGGACAUCUGAUCUUUCUUCACAUUUUUUUUCCUUUCUUCCUUUAUUCAGGUGCCAUUUUUCUGUAACUUCUCAGGUACAACAUUAACUGGAAUUAUGGGUUGCUUCCCCAGACAUGGGAAGAUCCUUCAUUUGCGAAUACUGAAGUUGAGGGGGCAUUUGGAGAUAAUGAUCCUAGUAUGCUUGCCACCUGCACCAACAUUCCAAGAUAGCUUGAUUUAACUGAAUUGCUCAUUCGGCUUCCUAUAGAAGCAUUGUAGAUUUAUUCCAAAGUAGCUGGCCUUUUAAAUCUUAUCUAAUCAGUGCUUUUAUCUGCAGUUGACGUUGUUGAGAUUGGCGAUAACCGUGCCAAAAUUGGCCAGGUUCUGAAAGUUAAGCCUUUAGCUGCUCUGGCAAUGAUUGAUGAGGGUGAACUUGACUGGAAAAUAGUUGCAAUUUCUUUAGAUGACCCAAGAGCUUCACUUGUUAAUGAUGUUGAUGAUGUUGAGAAGCAUUUUCCGGUAUGCUAAGUUUACGUUUAUGCUACAUUUUCUUUUCCUGCUGUUCUGAAGCAUGUUUAGUCUUUUUAUGAUGUGAACUGGGAAUUUAUGUAUUGUAGCAACAUAGCUGAAGAAGUGACAUAAUCAUCCAUAUGGUCGUUUCUAAAUGGUUUUUUAAAUUGAUGAUCUGACGAGUCCACUACAUGCAUUGACUACUUAAAUGCAAACCUGGAGGAAAAAAUUUAUUGAAUGCAUGUAUAAUUAUUUGACUAGCCCCAAGGAAGAGUGGGAAAUUAAGGAAAGUGCUAGGUAGAUGCUCAAGCAAUUGUGAAAGUCAAGGGAAUAAGAAUCUGAAAAGGAGUGAUUAAGUGAAAACCACAGAAUCUUUCUCAAUAUAAAAUACUGGUCCCCCUUCUCACAAAUUUUGCUAUUUACUUCUCUUAUCUCGGUCAAUAUCUGAAUCACUCCAUAUGGUGGAAACUGAUGAAUCCUAGGAAACAAUGAUUGAGGAAUUCUUGUACUACACUUUUCAAUUUGUUCUUUUUUGUUGAAUAUGGAUUUUUAGGUUCUUAACUUUUUUCCUUGAAUCGUUCAGUAGUCACUGUCAAACUUUGUUACCAGGAUUUCGUGAAUAUGCAUCUUUUUAUGUGGUAUGGAAUCUCAGGUGCAGAUAUCUGAAGGAUGAAAAUUGAAUGCCAUUUGUCUUCCAUCCUCAUUUUCUGCUUAUAGUUUAUAUGGAAAAUUGAUAAUCGCUUGUGGUUCAUGGAGACCAGAACUGAUAUCAGAAGCCUUAGUUGUCUACUAGUGGACUCAGCCUUCUAUUCCGCGUGUUUUUGUUAUCUCCUCUAUUUUUAGGAAGAUCUGUAGUUUAAAUAAUUCAACGUUGACGUCCCUGUAUGUUUUUAUUGUAAAAACAGAUUUAGAAACAUUUGGUGAAAAGCGUUUCAAUUAAGAGUAAAGUUGGAAGCUGAUGUUAAAAGUCAUGUAUAUCUCACUUCACUAGCUCUUUAAUGGUUGUAACCCUUCAAACUAUUGUUUGGAAGUGGAGCACUUGUUCUUCUGAAGUUCAACAAGUACAAGAUAGGACUAAAUUUCUUUGUGCCUGUAAAUUUGCAGGGCACUCUUACUGCAAUCAGGGACUGGUUUAGGGACUACAAGAUUCCUGAUGGAAAACCUGCUAACAAGUUUGGUCUAGGGAAUAAACCAGCAGAUAAGGUAUAGUGCAAUUUAAGCCUUAAAACCAUUUAAUAUGCAUCUGAUGUUUUUUUGUACUUCUUUUCCUUUUUUCUCAUAUACCAACAUGCUAUUUACUUGUCAUAACAGGAAUAUGCGCUUAAGGUCAUAACAGAAACCAACGAGUCCUGGGCUAAACUGGUCAAGAGAUCUAUCUCUGCGGGUGAGCUUUCACUAGUGUAAAUGGCACUUGGAAGUUUGAGCUGCCUGCCAUUCAAGGGGAUAUGCUGUGCAUCUCCGGGAGCCCAAGUGAUGGAAUUUAUUUGAGAUGAGAGUGAAUUUUCUUAAUCUCCGGAUUCAGAUGAAUAAUUUCUGCAAUUAUGUUGGAGUUAAAAUGUACUUCUUGACUUUAGUGUUCUUGUAGUUAAGAAACUUAUUUGUGAAGUUCUUGGUCGUAGAUUUUCCCUUGCGCCAAGAGAUGAGAUGAAUGAUAGAUGCGGUGGAAUACACAAAUAAACUGAAAACGGAAGAUAAAUUAGGUUCUGGGUUUGAACUGUUCAUUUUUUUUUAGAUUGUUCAUUCACUGAAAGCCCUCUCAUUGUUCCCACCCUUCCGAUUAAAAGAAGAUGCAGACAAGCAAAAUUCAAGAUAUCAUUUGUUCCUGUGUUUGAAAAAGAUGUCAUUCGUUUCUAAGUAAAUAAAUAAAUAGCAAGACACUACUGUUCCUGCUGUUAAGCAUUUUUCACUCUUUUUAAGCGUUCGUCAUUCAUCCUCUGCAACAUUUGAGUACGAUUUGGAAAUCCACCCAUCGCUUUCGGUGAAGCAAAUCACGCAGCAUAUAUUAGCUAAAGGACAGGAAGAACUUCAAAGAAAUAAAUUACGUGGGGAAACUGGAAACGAACGCGUUCCACCGCAUGCACGCUUGGAAACCGCAUUUGUGCGUCUGACCAUAUUCUAUCGAUUUUUGUCUUCAGGACGCCAUUGUGAAUUUUGGUCAAUACAAAACCAAUGACAGAAAGAAAAUUACAGAGGUUCCACUUCAAGAUCUCAUAAUUUUAUACAAAAAUAUCAUUGAUAAUUUUUAUGUAUACAUGAUCAAAAAUAAAUAUUUGGACCCCGCGUUACAUUACACCACUUCUAUAUGAUUUUUUCGGCUUUCAAGAACUGCAAGCUAGGCCUAAUAUGCUACAGUUUCCGGUGAGUUUUGCAGGGUUUUAUUUAGGUACAAUAAUGUUAGCCAUGCCUAAGUAGCUAGCAACUACCAUUUGGGUGCCUUUAGAGCUUUUAACAGUUGCAAAGUUCAACAAGUUCCGGAACCCUCUUGUCAAAAGCCUCGUCUCCUUCAUGGGAUUUGUUCAGUGCUUGUGAUCUGCGUUGAAAUAUGGAAUACCAUUUCCCCUCUUGAAGCCAUCUUCGCACAGAUACCUGUACUCGAGAAAGAGGCAAAUUUUCUGGUUGUUCUGCAGCCGGUUGCGGAGGCAGCUCGGUAGUAGGUGCUUGUGUUCGGCGGAUCAGGAGGAGCAUUGCUGCUGUCGGUGCCAUCUGAUAUCAGAAUUUACAAUGCUGCAAAAACAAAAAAAGUACAGAAUAGGAGUCAGUCUAGCAGUAGUACUUCUUUUUAUAGCAGUGAGUCAUAUGGUUGGUGAGAUGCUUAAUUGAUGCAGUCUUGAAUUGAAAUUCUUUAGAUUGUAAACAGAAGUAAAACUGUGUGCUAGGUUGCUCUGGUUUUGGCCUAAAAUUUCUAUCUUAUUAGUCCAUCUUCUCUUCUACAGUUUACAAUACCACCAGCCUUGCUGCAUUUACUUGCACUUCCAAAUUUUUGAGAAUUCUUUUAAACCUUUCUUUUGCUUGCUUUUUCUACUGUGUCUGCAUAUAUGCUAAGCCACAAUAUGAUUGCACGCUUGGAUGGAAUGGAACGGAACUAGACCACGUUGUGGGAUCCAUCCAUACGUCUUUUUCCAAUUACCUGUGGAUGGAUUCAUUUCCAUGGGCUUGGGACUUGAUAAGUCGAUUGUACUAAAUGAUUUCAGGUAAGUGAAUCUUGGUUUCAUGUAAUUAUUAAGAAGCCGUGGUUUUGGAUACGCGACAGAACCUGGGGCGUUUUUGAUGCUAAAAUAAAGGGUUAUUAUCACUUUACCACCUUAAACUAUAUAACUACUAUCAGUUUACUUCCUAACGUCAUCUUUUAGUCACUUCACCCCAUAAGUAAUUCAACUCAACAUGUUAAGAAAUUUUGGACAAAAAUACCCUUUUAUUCUAUAGCAUUACUACACUGUUAUUAUUACUUUAUUCCUUUAAAUUAUAGUGAUAUAAUCGAUUUAAUUCUUAACAUUAUUUUCUUGACAUUUUACUUCAUCGUUAAUCUAACUACUAUGGUCAAAAUUUUUUAAAUAUAUUUACCCUUUUAUAUAUAAUUAAAAAUAAAAAAUUUAGAAUGAUUAUUCUUCUUUUUUUUUUCUCUUUAAGAGAUCUAAAAAUAUAAAGAUAAAAGGGUUUUCUCAAAUUUCUUUUUUCAUACUUAUUAAUACUAUGAAAAGAAAAAUAGAUAGGAAAGAAGGAGACGGAAAAUUAGAUUUUGCAAAGAAAAAAAAGUCUAAUAUUAUCGUAUUAAUUUAAGGUUGUUGGGAUUAAAAUUGAAAUCUGAUGGUAAACAGUACAGUGAAAUAAUUUUAAAAUAAUAAAAGUAUUUGAUUCUUUUUUAUUUGUAUUUUCUAAAAAAAGAAUUGAGCUCUCUCUCUCUCUCUCUCUCUCUCUCUCUCUCUCCACCUCUUCCUCCCCCUUCCGAUCUUUCUAUUUUUUUAAUAUUAAUAAGAUUGUCAAGAAGAAAAAAAUUAAUACUUUGACUUUUUUUCUUACUACUAAAGAGGAGAAGAGCCACUCUAAAUUUUUUAUUAUUUUUAUUAUCCAAAGAGAAAAGUACUUUCUUCUAAAGUUUUUUAACUUGUUAAAUUGGUUUAAUGGUGGGAUAAAUUGCCUAAAAAAUAACUCUAUGGGGUAAAUUGAUAAUGAGACUAUAGUUUCUGAAGGUAAAAUGAUAAUAACUUUAAGGGCUAAAUUUAUCUUUUUACUUUAAUUAACAAACUCCGUUAAGUUUGACUGUUAGUCUUGGGAGUAAAGUGACUAAAAGAUAACGUUAAGGGGGAAAUUGAUAGUGACACCGAACGUUAAGGGAGUAAAAUGAUAAUAAUCCUAGAAUAAAAGAUAAAAACGUUGAACCUCUUGGCCUUAUCAGUUAGAAGUCAUUUCGACUUGAAAACCUUGAAUUCGGUUAAUAAUGAGUAACACGUUUGAAUUGCUAUUUUAGGAGUUUUAGUAGAAAUAUAUACGAUAAUAAUUUGAUGUGUGUAAAAUAAAAAGUUAAUUAAAAAAUACAUUUAGAAAAUCGGUAAAAAAUUUUCUACGAAAAAUCACGAUUCAAACAAGGACAAACACGAAUACAUUCUAUCCAUAUCUGUACUAGACUUUUUUGAUAAGAUUUUCAUCCUAAGCAGCUUAGAAUUGAUUACAUUCUAUCCAUAUCUGCAUAUAGACUUUUUGGAUAAUUGUCAGAUAUAUUUUUUGAUAACUUAUCUAGAGUUCCAUCCUAAACAGCUUAGGAUUGAUGUAUAUAUUAAACUUCAUUUUCUUUCCAUUGAAAUUUAAAAUUCAUUUUUUACAUAUAUGACAUACAUUCUUUUAAUUUGGAUCAAAUUUGGGCCUCAAGGUUGAGCUCGACGAGAAAAGACAACGUUGAGAAAAUACGGGCUCCGCUCAUUUUAGGCCCAACUAACAUCACCGUCGUGUUUUUUGAGUUUCUACCGAUGUGAGAAAUUACACCCAGAUUUGGCAUUAUUUGGAGCAAUAGAAGCACCAAAGUUUCAGGAUAGCCCUCCCGAAGAAUGCUUCUAAACAAAGACUGACUUUGCAUAGCACACUGCUAUCUAUAUUCACAUGCAACUGAUGAAAUUGCAGUUUUAAAAGCAAAAAAAAUCAAUUUGAACCAUAAUUUCUCUCAAAUUUUCUUGAGGAUAAGAAUUUCAAGAAUGUACAUCUAAUAAGACGCAGGACGUAGCAAAAAAUGCUAAGGUUCAUGGGAAGCUGCGGUUGUUUCAGCCGUCUUGUCUUCGAGUAAAGGUGUUGUGUUAGCCCUGUCUGCAGCAGUAACUGGGUGCUCACUGUCUUCAUUAAAUCUGUCGACGCUGCGAAGAAAGAUACCUAAACAAAGCCAGAAAACAAGCAAAGCAGUUUAGCAGCGGCUGAUGCUAUAUGGAAUUUGAGUUUACCCAACAACAUAUUUUCAUAACCUGAUUGAUUUUUGGCAUACCAUGCAGAGAAAGUUCCAUAUAUAGAAAAUGAAGAACUUGUUCUGUUGUUUCCACAAUUUUCUAAAUCAUCUGUAUCUUUUUACUACCAGCCGAAUAUGGGAUUUGGAGGACCAAAGGGACUGGCUCUAAUGAUGUUAAUACCAACAGGAGAACACUUCGUGAUGAACUUGGGCCUUACCACCAAGAACCACAUUAUCAAUCUUCUUUUUUCCAGGUUUUUUUAGUUCUUUUCGAUUCAAUCGACAAGAAAACAAACUAAACACUCACCAAUAAACCAUAUAGCAGAUGCAAUGAAGAAAAUCGAUGUUAGAACCAGCGCACUUAUCCUCCAGUUUUGGACAUGAUCCUGCACAAAAAGAUGUAAUUGCUUAAGCGGACAACUCUUAUCGAUAGAAGAGUACCAUAUGAACCCAAGCUUAACAGAAGAAUUCACUUCUUUCAGUUACUGAUUUAAAAAGGGGAGAUUUUUGUUUCCUUACUUUGUAUGUCAUACUCAUUUUUUCUUAAUCAGCUCGCCUCCAGUAAUACUAAACCAAAUAAAUCAUGGGCGUUUCCUAAAUUUAGGGCUUCACUCGACUUCUUCAGAAGACGUUAACUUUAGAGGCCAUAUUAGCUACUGACAGCCACAGAAACAGCAGCACAUAUUUGUGCAGUGAUAAUAACCCAACUUUACAAAAGUUGUAGGCUAAAUAGGAGUUUUUUAAAUAAAAUUUUGCUAAAUAAUAUUUACCAUUUAACAUCUACACCGGAAGACGAGUUAUGCCCGUAUUAGUUUAAACUAAAAAGACAAGCAGACCUGGAUAAGUCCAACCAGAGGAGCAGAAGGUACAUCCCCAAAGAUGUGAAUGGAGACGGUAGAUAUCGCCAUAGAUAACGGUCUCAAACUUGGAUGCACACAAUGUAGGCAUACAAAAUUCACAGGACCCUGCGUUAACAUGAACAGAAUGUUAAAAAGAAUUUGUCUACAUUAGUUAGAAACUCCAAUGCUUCAAUAGAUGCUGUGAACAACUAUUUCAGGGAUACUACCCAACACAUUCUACUAUUUUAAAAUAAACAUGGUAUGUAGAACUAGCCGAUGCUUUUUGCAAUAUAGGAACAGAGGUUAAAGUUAGGUGAUUUAAUUAAAAAAAAAAAAAGGAGUAGCCGAUAACACUGAGAAUCACUUAAGGGGACAGGACAGGCGUACAAGUAUCAAUAACACCUCAAAACUCGUUUCAGUAAUUGAUGGUUGUGCAGUGAUCAAUUGCAUUGUACAAAUUGAUACAACUUAGAACAUGGAAUAAAUACACUAGUGAAGUGAAGCCACUUCAGGAGAACUACCUGAGUGGCAAAUAUGAGCACUUCUCCAAUUGCUAGAAAAGCCAUGAAAGCAUAUAGACUCUUAAAACAAAAGGCAGCAAAGCAAAAAAUCCCCCCAGUGAAGGUUACUGCAGAAAGGAGCUGCAAAAUAGAUAUAGAUAAUUCAUUAGUAAGAACCGAAAAAAGCGCCAACACCAAUUUUGAAAGAACCAAAAUUCUAGAUAUGCUUAAUUCCCAACAUGCCAGAGAUGCCAUUACCAAAGGAAUGUAGGACAAAAUAUAAAGUCUAAGAAACUUCAUUUCCUAUGGACUUUACUAAUAGCAACACCAUUUGCACCUGAAAGAAGUAACAGUUUAUGAAAAUAUCAUAGACAUAUUAUGAACAGUUUCACUCAUUUCAUAAUAAAAUUCACUUCUAUAAUCACUUUAUGAUUCCAAAUGAACCAAUCGAAUUCUAUCACAAGGAACCAAAUUAUUUUGACAUUUUAACUUGUUUUUCUGAUUAUUAUUGCAGAGAGAGAGAGAGAGAGAGAGAGAGGAAUAUAACAUAAUUUUCUGGAUUGAUAUUCAGUUAUCUCCAGUGCUUCAUACUCUCUUCUCAUUAUUAAUGUUAUUUUUCAAAUUUAGCAAAUUAUAGUUGAAUUACAAACACGAAAAGAAGAAAGGUAUACAAAUCUCUCUUCGUUAUUUGACCGCAUUAUUAGAAGUCCAAGUAGUAAAAUGAAAUGUCCAACAAGUCUAUCACUUGGAAGCAUGUUUACCUUGAAUGCAUUUGGAAUCGUGGAAGUCAUACGAUCCAGAAGGAAACCUCCCGCUACAGUGCCCAAUACACCGGAUACAACGGUCACACCUCCAAACAUCAAAUCUGCAUUACUCUGUGAUAUAAGGUCACUUAAUCAAUUGUUUUCCAGAAUAUUUUUUUUUUUUUGGAAAAUAACUAUAGAGAAAAGAACAUGUCAAGAAUAAGAAUGAAGUAAUAACAUUAUAUGGUUCUGUUAAAAAAAAUGUCCACAUGCCAUCAUAACAGACAAAAGUGCUCAGAGCUUACCAUAUGAUAUAAGCCAUAACCAGCCUUUGGUCCCCAGUAGGAAUAUGAGCCUAUGACAAAGUUAUAUGCGAUGUAGCCUGCAAAAAGCCAUUGCCAAUUAGUACGAUACUGCUACACAACAUCAUGAUAACGAUAUCAUAUAUAUCACAUAACAUCUUGCUGUAACUGUCUCUAUUCAUUCUAACUACAUUAUCCUCAAAAAGCGGACACAACAGAAAAGUGAUAAUCCAUUAAAAUUAUUCAAUCAUGAUGCACAAAACUAGCAAACUUUAGAAUAAAGCAAGGAAAAUGAUGUACCUAGAACAUUCACAACAUAAACCUUUUCUCCCAAAAGGGCUGUCAAGUCUUGCAAAAAUCUUGUAACUUGGUUUAAAUUAGUACUUGCCUUUGACCUGUAACAGAGAUAAAACAGAAUCAUGGAAUGGUUUCAUAUACAUCCUAGAACAGGAGUUCUAAAUUUUUAAUCACAUCAUCGUAAGCCCCACAGUUUAAGCACAAGACGAGUAAAAGUAAACAAGCAUAUGCCAGUAAAUCCAUAAUAGCCAGGGCAAGAAAAACAUCUCACCUGGAUAAUUGAGAGUUUUGUUUGACGAACUCUCCUGUCAAAGAUAGUUCACCACCUUUAACAAAUAAAAAACCUAACUCAGAAUACAUAGCCAGAUGAAAUAACUAUGCCGACAAAGAAAUCCAUGCAAAAGAACGCUUGGAUAAAGUAGAAAUGAAAACCUGCACUUCUAAACAUCAUGAUUUACAGAUCAUACUGACUAUAAUUUGAAGAUUACAGCUGGAAUUGAGCAAAAUUUGAAACUGUUCACUUCCUAAAGUCACUAAAAAAGUUCAAACCAACUAAGAAACCCAAGAGGUGCAAACUCCCAACAAGUGCAAACUUGAGCGAAGCAGAAAAUUUUGGUUAAUCAUCAAAAAAUGGUCAUCAGAGUUUGAAACUAGAUGAACACAUGACAGCAGCUAGAAGAUAAUAUCAAGCUCACAUUUUCUUCCCUUGCUUGGUAAUGAUUAGCAACAGAAAGGUGUAAGCUCUGUCGUGGCAUGAAAAAGCAACAUGACAUUGAGUUCACAUGGCAGUUAAAAGCACAAAGUAUCCUAGGGGCCUCCUUCCAUACAACUGUAAAAAAGCUCUAGCAUAUCAUGUCUUAAAACUUGAUUUAGAAUUCUUGGUAAAGACUGCUUAAACAAUCAAAAGGAAGUCAGUAAACUAGUGGUGCAAAAUAGCUCAAAAGAAGCCAUUGAAAGGAGAAAUUCUCUAUGUCCCUGCAAGGAUGUGAAGAUACUUACAAGAUGUUUAUUAACAUUUUAAUUCGACAUCCUUGUCAAGUAACUUAAGUUUCUGGCUACAAUCUUUGCUUCUUUUGAGAAAUUCUCUAUGUCCCUGCAAGGAUGUGAAGAUACUUACAAGAUGUUUAUUAACAUUUUAAUUCGACAUCCUUAUCGAGUAACUUAAGUUUCUGGUUACAAUCUUUGCCAAAAUAAUUCUUUUAUAUAAUCUUAGUUGUUUCAGCAAAAUUUUUGCGUAAAAAAUGAACCAAAUGAUUACAGCUUAUUCAAUGUCUAUGCUUUCCAUCUGGGAAUAAAUAUAGUGCUACCACAUGAUGUUUUUGAUGAUAGUUCGAACACACACAAAUAAGUUCAUAAAGCAAUAUGAAUUUACUAGUGAAGCAUAUUGCUGCAUGCAACACCUUGAUUAUCUGAAGCAGCUGUCUCUACAGUGGUCAAUGCUUUUCUGGAUCCAGCUGGAGCAAAACCUGUACCAUCACACAUUGAGAAUAACUGUAGUGGCAAUAAGCUUCAGAGUGAAACCACAUCUAACCAGAUUUGCACCUUUUAGCUGCAAUGGUUUUGUCAGAAAACCUAAGACAGCAAAAGGAAGCAUCAAAAUUGCUUCAAUCCAGAAUGCAUAACGCCAGCUGAGUUGAUUUCCAACCUAUGGGACCAAGAAAAGCUGACUUCAUUUCACCUCUAAUAAGUGAUACAGUGUGUUAGAUGUGAAUAAACCAAUAGUAAUCAGGUCUUAUUCAAAAACACACACUUGCGUUCACUUUCCUCACAAAAUUUCGAAAUGCAAAAUUACUGAACAUAAAACAUUUUCUGCCAUGAAGAAUGUAAUUUUUGAAAAAACAAAUUAAAGCUUACCACUCCACCAAAGACAUAGCCAACUGCAGUACCAACGGGUAUGCACAUGUAAAAUAUACCAAGCCAAGCAUUUUUCUGAUUUACAAAAAAGUGAAUUUAAGAUCAUUAAAAUACUAGUAAAACAACUUCCAAGGUUAAAUGUCCUUAGCUGAAAAACAGAGUAAUUAAACCUGAGCAGCAGGGGCAUUAUCAUCAAUGAAAGGGGCUGCAAGACUUACAAAAGAAGCCUCACCAAC
rnacentral:lncRNA from 1 species